rnacentral:rRNA from 1 species
CAUAGGGUGCGAGCGUUAAUCGGAAUUACUGGGCGUAAAGCGUGCGCAGGCGGUUUUGUAAGACAGGCGUGAAAUCCCCGGGCUCAACCUGGGAACUGCGUUUGUGACUGCAAGGCUAGAGUAUGGCAGAGGGGGGUGGAAUUCCACGUGUAGCAGUGAAAUGCGUAGAGAUGUGGAGGAACACCGAUGGCGAAGGCAGCCCCCUGGGCCAAUACUGACGCUCAUGCACGAAAGCGUGGGUAGCAAACAGGAUUGGAUACCCUGGUAGUCCACGCCCUAAACGAUGUCAACUAGGUGUUGGGUGGGUAAAACCAUUUAGUACCGGAGCUAACGCGUGAAGUUGACCGCCUGGGGAGUACGGCCGCAAAGGUUA